rnacentral:misc_RNA from 1 species
AAGGAGCACCAACUGGCCGUCGCUCGCUGCGAGAGGAUCUGGUCGGUGGCCGGCGUUGACAGCCAGUGUCUGUCAGGUGGCUGCUCAUAGAUGUGGAGCACUGGCUACUGAGCUCACCUGGUGUGUGAGCCGGCAAGUACCGUCCUUCGGUUUCGGCUGGGGGAGUGGGAACGGCGGUUUCAGGCGGCGGGUGGGUUGGACACGCUGUUGGGUCCUGAGGGAACGGGCGCGAGCUCGGGUGGACCUCGGACUACGGGACCAGGACCACAUUCCUUGUGGUGGUGUGGUUUUGGUGGGCCCGGUUGUUUUUUGAGAACUGCACAGUGGACGCGAGCAUCUCUGGUGAGAUGAUGAGAUGCCUCCUUUUGGUGAGGGUGGUGGGUUUUGGUGGCCCGGUUGUUUUUUAAAAACUGCCAGUGACGCAACAUCUCUGGUAAAUGAUAAAAGCACGUUCCAAAAGAUUCCUCCUUUUGGGAAGGUGUUUUCGGGUUUGUUUUGUUGGUUAUCUGCGAUUUGUUCCUGAUCCGUUUUGU